CACUUUCUGUCACUUUGGACAAACACUUGACUUCCUUUGCUCCGAUGUGCCAUUGCGUCCCGACGCGAUCCGGUCGAGGGACUUGUCAUGUUUGCGGAUGUUUGACUUCCUCCGUGUUUGCCGUCGUGGAAGACAUGCGGGAGGACAGGAGCGCGAGCUGGGGAAGCAGGAGGAUGCCCCGAUCAGCCAACCGACUCUGCGCAAUCAGCAGCGUGGCGUGGUUGAAAGAUCAGUGAUUAGGCAGCCAGCGCAGUGUAGUCGGUGCGGUACUGAGCAGGCCGUCCGGCUGGGUGUGAACUGUGCAAUGAGCCUGUCACCCGGCAGCCUGCAGGAGGGCCCAGGCCCACUCUGCUGUGCAAGAUCUCUCGACAAGACUCCUCGCUGGGGCAUAUGCCUGCGCUUAACACCGCGACCUGCUUCCACAUGUUGCUGGCAUCCUUGUCUGAAGCACAGAGACAGGCCUCCCAGAAGUGCUGACAUGCUGUUCUUCCCGUGGUUUGUAAGAGCAAGGAUUGAGGUUAGUUGAGGAAGCAUGGGCACUUUGUUUUCUGAAGUUGUGCCAGCCUGUCAACGUGAUAACAGAAUGGGACAGAUGUCCCCUAAAGUCCAGUAGAGUGGACAACAGCUCAAGAGAAUGUGAGGUCAAAAGAGAUCUUGUCUCGACUAAAAUGGAGAAAAAAAAACAACGUCAAGGUAAACAAUUGACAGCGUAGAAGCAAAAAGUCCACGGGGAAAAAAAAGUUCAUUCUGGCUGAAACACGCGCAUGAGAACUUAACACCGAGCAGGGCGUAAUCCGACAUCUCACUUUCUGGACGCCCUGGCCGGCACCUCUGGCUCGCUCAGCCGUAAUGACCCCUCUGAGCCAAACAUCCACUCGCAUCUCCUUCUGCUUCCCUUCACCUGUCCCAGCCUUGGUGUGUAUCAGAUUCAGGCAAAGGGCCCCAGCAAGCAAUGCCACUCAUGGGGGAGACUCAGAAGCCAAGAAUGCCAGAGGCCCCUGCUCUGAGCCCCUGAGCACAAUGACUGGCACCACCACUGCAGUGAGAGGGCAGUUGGAGACGGACAGACGGAAGGAGAGAGGGAGGGAGGGAGGAAGGGAGGGAGGUCAGGGAGGAAAGAAACAGACAAAGAAAGGGAAGAGAAUAAACAAGAACAAAUAUAUGUCAGAGGCAGUCGUCAAGAUGUGUCCUUAAUAAACAUCCUUCUAAUGCAACGGUGCCAUCCCGCUAAUGGUGCCUCUGUCACCUCUCUGUGGGGCGCUGAUGAGGCUUUCAUGGGGACGCGUCUGGCCAGGGCUGCCUGGAUGAUGGGCCUGGACUGAAAGGAUGGGCAGAGUUUGCGGAUGAAGCGACGCUAAUGAACUUUUCUGGGAAAGGAGUGGACGUGGAGGCGGGCCGAGUCAGCCAUGCGUUAGAGCCUUGAGCGGCGUCCGCAAACACACAUCGCUGUUUGAGAUGCCGCUCCUCAUUUGGAAAUAUGAAGUCUUAAUCAUCCCAGCGGGAGUCCAGCCGGCUGCUGUCCCAUGAUUCCAUUUGUGUGGAUCGCUGGCGCAUUUAAGUGUCAGCCAUGAUGGCUUGCCACGCCUACCAAGACACCCACUGCAAGGAGGAAAGGGGCUCGUCAGUCUCUCUCUUAUAACAAUGCAGAACACCGUGAUGAGAAGUGAGAAUGAGCAGAACCCUGACUAUUGACUCUAUGGGCUAAGCGCUAAACACACUAAAGAUAUAGUAGAGAUCAAAUAUACUGCUUCAAGAUGUGCAAUACAUCGUUUACAGGACAUCACUCUAUACUUGUCUGGGGAAUUGAGACUUUGGCCUUUUUGGGUCUCCACCAUCACAUUCUGUCUGUCU
ensembl:lncRNA